rnacentral:lncRNA from 1 species
AAGCCGUGAGCAUUAAAAUUUUUUUGUUUGACGAGUUUGGUUGCUGUGCAAUCUGAACGGUAAGUAAUUCUACCGAUUACUUUUGCUUCUCUUUGUUGUCUUCUUUUCUUUUUCUUCCUUUUUUUGUUCUUUGUUUUCUUAUUCUUUUGUAGGGUUGAAAAUAAAUAGCAAUGCGCAUUAAUGGUGGCCAUCGGCUUAAGGUGCGAGAGUUUAACUUCGCCUCCAUUACCUUAAGUCUGACCAAUUUUAUUUGAAGAUGGUGAACAUUGGCUUAAGGUGCGAGAGUUUAACUUCACCUCCAUCACCUUAAGUCCCUUAAGUCCGACCAAUUUUACUUGAAGAUGGUGCAAUGAUUUUCCUUUCACCGAUGUAUUUAUGCGAUAAUCUUCUCUAAGUAUGGGCCCUUUUCAAUGUUCAGCUUAAGGCGUGAGAGUCUAACUUUGCCUCUCUUACCCUAAGACCUGACGAAUUCGACUUCAAAUAUACGUGACUAUAUUUCACCAGAGCCAAACACAUGAAGAACCUUUUUUUCCUUUGUCUUUUUCUUUGCCGGUAUAUAUAUAGAUUUUUUCGAAUCUUGACUUCGUGUCUAAUAGAGAUUCUUUUAUUUAUGCAGCUUGAAGAGAUGGUUCGCUUUAGAGACUACACAUCUUCAUCCUCUAAAAGCAAGUAUCUUCUAAUUGAAGCCGAUGACGGUAUCAUUUUAACCAGGCUAUUGACUGAAACUCCAAUGGUAGGCAGGUAUGCAGAUCCGUGGCCACCCUUGCAAAAUUCUCUCCAUAUGUCGGAUUGGACUUCAGAACAUGACAUUGGUGCUAAUUGUUUUGCGGAAAAAUUUUAACUUUUUGAGAGUCGCCACUUAAUUUUGAAAAAGGAAUUAAGAAACCUUUAAAGAGUUACUUCAAACGAUUCAAAACAGAAAAAUCGUUUUAAGUUUUAAAGAUUCCGAGUAAGUGGUUCCUAUUAACGUUUUAGGAAGUAUUAGGCACCUAAAACGUCCGCUAACUUGCGGUUAUCCGGACUGUUUGAAAACAUCUUUUGAUUAACUUCUGAAAAGAUUAAUUUGUUGAAAUAGUGAUUUGAUUUUUUAUUUUUUAAAAAAAAACUUGUGUAAAAUAGAUUUAGGCGACUUAGUAGGGAUUUUAACUAAAUCUAAACAAAACUAAUAAACAAAUAAACACAUAAAAGGGGAAGGGAGGACCAUUGGGCCCAAAUCAACGAGACCUGUCCUAGUUUAGUUGGGCUUCCGAUCCAUUUCACCUGUUCUAAACUAUUUUUCGAGCCUUUGACUCGAGUCUUGCUCCACCUAUAUUAAAUACAACUUUGGCUUCGAGGCCGAAAUGAAUGAAUAAAUAAAUAACUAAAUGAAUAAAUAAAAAGAAGACAAUAAUAAAAAUUGAGACUUUUCAAGUCUCUUAGUGACCCCAUCAAUGGGUUUUGAUCCAUUUUCCUUCUUCGUCUAUCUUCUAGCACCCGCACGCCAUGUAAUGGACCUCAGGUUUAAAAUUCGAACUUGACUCGAAGGGGUAGACCUCAUUGGCCCAUUACAAAAUGCAAGAGGAGAGGAAUCCAUUUGGCCUCGAGAUAUAUUUUGCAAGCAAAGAAAAGAUAAAGAAAUUAAUAUAUGUUCAAGGUGUAAAAGUGACAUAUUUCAAAGUAAAAGAAACUAUCAAGAACCAAUUUUUGAAUGAUAAGAAUAAACAUACUUGCACAACAAGGAGAGUCAACAAAUAAAAAAUGCAAAGCAAAGACACUCCUUUACAUGCCUCAUGAUUUAUGUUCAUAUUAAGAAUGAAUAAAGGUAAAAGAAGAAGGUCAUAUUCAAUGAAUUAAUGCGAGAAACAAACAACGUAAGCUUGCGAAAUUAAAGGGAUGAG